GCUUUGUUAGCGCAGUAGGUAGCGCGUCAGUCUCAUAAUCUGAAGGUCGUGAGUUCAUGCCUCUCACGAGGCA